rnacentral:rRNA from 1 species
AGAGUUUGAUCCUGGCUCAGGAUGAACGCUAGCUACAGGCUUAACACAUGCAAGUCGAGGGGAAACGACAUCGAAAGCUUGCUUUUGAUGGGCGUCGACCGGCGCACGGGUGAGUAACGCGUAUCCAACCUGCCCACCACUUGGGGAUAACCUUGCGAAAGUAAGACUAAUACCCAAUGACGUCUCUAGAAGACAUCUGAAAGAGAUUAAAGAUUUAUCGGUGAUGGAUGGGGAUGCGUCUGAUUAGCUUGUUGGCGGGGUAACGGCCACCAAGGCUACGAUCAGUAGGGGUUCUGAGAGGAAGGUCCCCCANAUUGGAACUGAGACACGGUCCAGACCUCCUACGGGAGGCA